GGGUGAGUAAUGUCUGGGAAUCUGCCUGAUGGAGGGGGAUAACUACUGGAAACGGUAGCUAAAACCGCAUGACGUCGCAAGACCAAAGUGGGGGACCUUCGGGCCUCACGCCAUCGGAUGAACCCAGAUGGGAUUAGCUGGUAGGUGGGGUAACGGCUCACCUAGGCGACGAUCCCUAGCUGGUCUGAGAGGAUGACCAGCCACACUGGAACUGAGACACGGUCCAGACUCCUACGGGAGGCAGCAGUGGGGAAUAUUGCACAAUGGGGGAAACCCUGAUGCAGCCAUGCCGCGUGUGUGAAGAAGGCCUUCGGGUUGUAA
rnacentral:rRNA from 1 species